rnacentral:lncRNA from 1 species
AGUUCCAAAUUAAUUAUUCAAAGGUCAAAACAUGUUACAUAUGCCUUCUUAUAUUCUUUUCUGGGUUUUAAUUCUCAAUUUAUUCUCUGGUUCAAUUAGCCAAUGCUCUCCUUUUCACUGUUGUAUUUUUUGAAAGGCUACAUGAAAACACAAAUUUUCACUUCAUCAAGUGAUCACCAUGCUUCAGUUCCUGACUCCGCCCAUGCUCCACCACCAGGCUCAGGUGUGCUCCUGGAAGUAUCACUCAUUCUUCCUCCCCAAGUUGGGCUAGGUUUAGGUUAUGGGUGCAAUUCCUUUGUGUGUCGGUCACGGACUAUUUCGAGGCUGCAGAAUGAUCCAGCAAUUGCACUUACGGUCAUAUAUCCUAAGGAAAUGAAGUCACCAUCUUGGACACAUACCUGCACUUUCAUGUCUAUUUCAGCAUUAUCUGGAAGAGUCAAGACAUGGAAACAACUUAAGUGUCUGUCGAUUGAAGAAUAAAUAAAGAAAAUAUGGUAUAUAUAUUUUUAAUGAGAUAUUAUUCAGUCAUAAAAAAGAAAAUUCUGC